UGCAGUCGAACGAAGUACAAUACUUAGUGGCAGACGGGUGAGUAACAUGUAGGUAUCUGCCCUUUGGCCUGGAAUAACACGAGGAAACUUGUGCUAAUACCGGAUAAGUCUUUACGGAGAAAGCUUUAUGCACCAUUGGAUGAGCCUGCACUUGAUUAGUUUGUUGGUGGGGUAAUGGCCUACCAAGACUGUGAUCAAUAGCUGAUUUGAGAGGAUGAUCAGCCACAUUGGGACCGAGACACGGCCCAAACUCCUACGGGAGGCAGCAGUGGGGAAUCUUGCACAAUGGAGGAAACUCUGAUGCAGCGAUGCCGCGUGAGUGAAGAAGGCCUCUGGGUUGUAAAGCUCUUUCGUCGGGGAAGAAAAUGACUGUACCCGAAUAAGAAGGUCCGGCUAACUUCGUGCCAGCAGCCGCGGUAAUACGAAGGGACCUAGCGUAGUUCGGAAUUACUGGGCUUAUAGAGUUCGUAGGUGGUUGAAAAAGUUGGUGGUGAAAUCCCAGAGCUUAACUCUGGAACUGCCAUCAAAACUUUUCAGCUAGAGUAUGAUAGAGGAAAGCAGAAUUUCUAGUGUAGAGGUGAUAUUCGUAGAUAUUAGAAAGAAUACCAAUUGCGAAGGCAGCUUUCUGGAUCAUUACUGACACUGAGGAACGAAAGCAUGGGUAGCGAAGAGGAUUAGAUACCCUCGUAGUCCAUGCCGUAAACGAUGUGUGUUAGACGUUGGAAAUUUAUUUUCUGUGUCGCAGCGAAAGCGAUAAACACACCGCCUGGGGAGUACGACCGCAAGGUUAAAACUCAAAUGAAUUGACGGGGACCCGCACAAGUAGUGGAGCAU
rnacentral:rRNA from 1 species